UGCUAAAAAAUAAAUAGAGUAUGAAUAGAAAAGGAAGAGGCACAAGGCCCAUUUUAUAAAAACCUAAUCCUAACUAUAAAUAAAAUAAUGAACCAUAAUAAUAAAAUUAAAAGGUUAAAGGUAGUCUCGGAGUAAAAAAAUAUUACACUGAAAUAUUUUAUAUUGUUAAAUCAUAACAUUAUUUUAAAAAUAAAAUUAUCAUAUAAUGGGAUACACAAAUUUUAUUGAUUGACCGAUAGUGUAAAAAUAUUUUACAUUGUCGGUGAUAUUUUUUUUCUUUAAAAUUAAUUAAAAAAAUAUUAUAGUCAUAAAAAAGGGCACCGACCUUCUUUGUUUCCAUGUCCGGGAGUAAAAUUUUGGUUUUUCAACAUUUUUCCACCCCCAAUAAACCGAUGACAUGUGUCCUAUUUAAUAAUAAAUAAAUAAAAAAUAACAAAUGCACAUUAUAAAUUUUCUUCUUGUUUGUAAUGAAAACGCAACAAAUGUGAAUGAAACCCAAUCCCGCUUAAUUUUCAAAUUCUCCAACAACCCAAAUCAUAUACACAGAAAGGAGGGAAGGCGUGAUUUACCAGAAGUAGCGGCUGCGGUUGGUGGUGGCGGUGGAGUUUCACGUGAUGGUGUCGUCGGCUGAAUCGGCGGUUAUGCGCGAAAGCGGUGCGGAGGGGAUCCGUGGUGUUGGCCGCGGCGCUCGCCGGUCUGGAUCGGUGGCGACGGUGUUGCAGAUCGGUGCCGAUUGGUUGUCGCGAUUUGAUAUUUCGGAGGCUGCAAAGAUCUUCUUCCCUGCUUUUUUUUUAUUUGUUUCAGUUUUGAAUGUAUGGUGUUCUUGAUGUUGCAGUCUAUGAUUGAAGUUAAUGAAGUUAUUUUUUCUUGUUGAUUUGGUUUAUAUAGUGUUUUUGUUUUUGAAUAUUGGUGUUGUGAUUGUUGUUGUUUUAAUGAUUGUUGGUUUGUGUUUCUAUGUAAAAGGGAUUAUGAUGAUGACAAAGAUAAAGAUGUUGAGUGAAGAUUUGUGUUUUGAAAUUUGGGGUAGUGGUGAGAGGUGGAAGAAAUUGGUUAUGGUUAAUAGUAGAAAAUGAUGAGAGAGAAAAAAAUGGUGUGGUUAUGUUAAUUAGGGGUGGACAAACGGUCG
rnacentral:lncRNA from 1 species